UUUGAAUUCAAAGCUUCAAAUUUUUUUAUAGUUGCCAUUUUUCUACUGUUUCAAAAUAACUAACCCAACAAAUUCGUCUCUAUUACAUCGGUGGGUUUACCAUGAGUCCUCUCAAUCCGAUAAGAGGUCUAUUUCUUUCGCAGAGUUGAUGGUGAAAGAAUUUUAUGGAUCGUCAAUGAAUUUGAAGAGGUUUGAAUUUGGAGAAAGAAGAAGAAGGAGAUAAAAUGGUGUAUAGAAUAACAACUGCCAGAUUAGCAAAAGAAAACAUUGAGUAGCGAGCUUCUAGAUCUAAUCAGGCAUCUAAAUGUUGCUUCCA